AUGGACCUCCCCGUGGUGGAUCUCGCGCCCUUCCUGCAGGCCGCCGCCGGCGACGCGGCCGCGGCGCCGGCCGAGGCGGAGGAGGCGCUGCGCGCGCUCUGCGCCACGGUGAGCGCCAGCCUGCGGGACACGGGGGCGCUGCUGGUCAAGGACCCCCGCUGCACCGCCGCCGACAACGACCGCUUCCUCGACGUCGUCGAGCGCUACUUCGCCCGAUCCGACGACUCCAAGCGCCUCCAGGAGCGCCCCCACCUCCACUACCAGGUCGGCGUGACACCUGAAGGCGUGGAGGUGCCUCGCAGCCUCGUCGACAAGGAGAUGCAAGACACGAUCAAGAGUAUGCCAGAGGAGUUUCAACCAGCCACCCCUAAGGGGCCAGACCCGAAGUGGCGGUACAUGUGGAGAGUGGGCCCUCGCCCGUCGAAUACCCGCUUUAAGGAGCUGAACGCAGAACCUGUUAUUCCUGAUGGAUUACCGGAGUGGAAAGAGACCAUGGAUUCCUGGGGUUCAAAAAUGAUUUCUGCAAUUGAGGUUGUUGCUGAGAUGGCGGCGAUUGGAUUUGGCUUGUCAAAGGAUGCAUUUACCUCUUUGAUGAAGGAGGGACCGCACCUCCUAGCACCAACCGGAAGUAAUCUGAUGCGUCAUGGUUUUGAGGGCACUGUGUUUGCUGGGUUCCAUUAUGAUCUUAAUUUCUUGACCAUCCAUGGCCGUAGUAGAUUUCCAGGCCUGAACAUUUGGUUAAGUAAUGGUAAAAAGAUGGAGGUGAAGGUCCCUGUUGGCUGUCUUCUCAUUCAGUCAGGGAAACAGUUGGAAUGGCUUACAGGUGGUGAAUGUUUAGCUGGAAUGCAUGAGGUAGUGGUGACCAAGAGAACAUUAGAGGCAAUAGAACUAGCUAAAGAGCAGAACCGAAGUUUGUGGAGGAUCUCAUCAACACUAUUCUCGCACAUUGCUUCCGAUGCGACACUCAAGCCAUUGGGCCACUUUGCUGAAGCACCCAAUGCUCAUAGUUAUCCACCUAUAUGCGCCGGGGAGUAUGUGGAACAAGAGCUCUCAGCAAUUAAUCUGAAAGGGAAGGUUGCACUCUAG
rnacentral:rRNA from 1 species